GUAGGUGGCAAGCGUUGUCCGGAAUUAUGGGCGUAAAGCGCGCGCAGGUGGUUCUUUAAGUCUGAUGUGAAAGACCCCCGGGCUCAACCGGGGAGGGUCAUUGGAAACUGGGGAACUUGAGUGCAGGAGAGGAAAGUGGAAUUCCACGUGUAGCGGUGAAAUGCGUAGAUAUGUGGAGGAACACCAGUGGCGAAGGCGACUUUCUGGCCUGUAACUGACGCUGAGGCGCGAAAGCGUGGGGAGCAAACAGGAUUAGAUACCCUGGUAGUCCACGCCGUAAACGAUGAGUGCUAAGUGUUGGGGGGGUUUCCGCCCCUCAGUGCUGCAGCUAACGCAUUAAGCACUCCGCCUGGGGAGUACGGUCGCAAAGACUG
rnacentral:rRNA from 1 species